GAAAGCAGUGCCACAGGUUGAAGAUAAAAGUGACUGGACCAUUUUGCAUUCCACCAGCAAUGAGCCAGAGUUCCUGUUGCUGCAAUCCCUCACCAGCAAUUGGUGUUGUCUGUUUUCUGGAUUUUGGCCAUUCUCAAAGCCCCUUGUCGCAGAGUCCGACACGACUGAGCGACUGAACUGAACUGACGAACACAGGAAGUCACCAGAAGGUGGCGCUCUCUGCGUGCGAUUGACGUACAUCCAGCCAUGGGUUUCCUUUUGCCCACGUGCUUAUUUUCCGCUUCUUCCCCGCGGGGCGUUUAUUCACUCGCCUUUGCCUGCAUCCUUCCUCACUGUUUUCCAUCAAGCGACCUUCACCUUUGGGUUUUUAUUUUAUCUUUAUUAAAAAUUGUUUUUCUUUGUUGUUUUGGUUUUCCACCUUUGUAUUUUUUCAUGGUGAAUUAUACGUAACACUAAAUUUACCGUUUUAACCAGUUUAAG
ensembl:lncRNA